rnacentral:rRNA from 1 species
UACAGAGGGGGCAAGCGUUGUUCGGAAUUACUGGGCGUAAAGCGUGCGCAGGCGGUUUUGUAAGUCAGAUGUGAAAUCCCCGGGCUUAACCUGGGAACUGCGUUUGAAACUACAAGGCUAGAGUGUGGCAGAGGGGGGUGGAAUUCCACGUGUAGCAGUGAAAUGCGUAGAGAUGAUGGAGGAACACCGAUGGCGAAGGCAGCCCCCUGGGUUAACACUGACGCUCAGGCACGAAAGCGUGGGGAGCAAACAGG